rnacentral:rRNA from 1 species
GGGGAUGCCAUUUUUGAAGCGAUUAGCUUGCUAAGAGUGGAAAUGUUGGCAUCUUAGUGGCGGACGGGUGAGUAACGCGUGGGGAACCUGCCCUGUACAGGGGGAUAACACUUAGAAAUAGGUGCUAAUACCGCAUAAGCGCACAGUAUCGCAUGAUACAGUGUGAAAAACUCCGGUGGUACAGGAUGGACCCGCGUCUGAUUAGCUGGUUGGCGGGGUAACGGCCCACCAAGGCGACGAUCAGUAGCCGGCCUGAGAGGGUGAACGGCCACAUUGGGACUGAGACACGGCCCAAACUCCUACGAGAGGCAGCAGUGGGGAAUAUUGGACAAUGGGGGGAACCCUGAUCCAGGGGCGGCGAAAAAAAAAAGAAGUAUUUCGGUAUCUAAAGCUCUAUCAGCAGGGAAGAAAAUGACGAUACAUAACUAAGAAGCCCCGGCUAACUACGUGCCAGCAGCCGCGGUAAUACGUAGGGGGCAAGCGUUAUCCGGAUUUACUGGGUGUAAAGGGAGCGUAGACGGUGCAGCAAGUCUGAUGUGAAAGGUCGGGGCCCAACCCCGGGACUGCAUUGGAAACUGUUGAACUGGAGUACAGGAGAGGUAAGCGGAAUUCCUAGUGUAGCGGUGAA